rfam:Ictidomys tridecemlineatus contig050790, whole genome shotgun sequence.
GGAGAUAUAGCUCAGUUGGUAGAGUAUUUGCCUCGCAUGUGCAAGGCCCUGGGUUCAAUCCCCAGCACCACCA